UCCAGUAUCCACACCAACUGUUCCAACACCUGAUAAACAACAACAUGAUCAGGAAAGCCAUGUUCCUACUGAUCAUAUCAAAGUAUCAGAUGAUAUUGUCAGUGGGAACGUCUGCAAAAAAGCUGAAGUUAUGGAUGCCCCUAUUUUUGACAAGACUCCAACAUCUAAUGCUCCCACAACAGACAAGCCUGCUGCUCCUAAGUUAACACCAGAUAUAAAUAGUGAAGGACAAAAAUCUGUUACACAUGAUACUCCUGUAUCUGGUGCACCUCUGUUCGAUAAAACCCCACUGACAGAUGUAA